rnacentral:misc_RNA from 1 species
CCACUUCAUCGUUUACGUCCCAGCGUCCAGAGUCUGCCCAGUAUGUUCCCAGCAUUCACCGCCAAAGACCCUCAUCAAACUCCUCCAGUUAACACGUCACAUUAUAACCAGAAAAUAACUGGAUAACCACCAUUAUCAGUUAAUCCGUGAGGACUUGUAUUACUAGUGUGAUGUACAUGCUAUGGGAAGAACAAUACAUGUUUUAUGUUAAGGAUGGAAAGAACAUAGUCAUUAUUUCUGUCUUAAUUUAUUUAGCAAUCUAAAUAUAAUACAUGUUCCGUACCAUCAAAAAGUUUUAAUGUCUUAAUGUUUUGAUGAUGAAAUUCAAAUGGCUAUAGUUUAUACCAUGGAUUACCAUAAUGAUGUUAGAUUUAUGUUUACAUGUACAUGUAUGCUUAAAUAACUGAAUUAAAAAAAAGUUAAUAUUCAAUUUAUAACUUGUCCUAAUAUUUGGGUGUUGAUUGAAUAAAGAGGUGAUACUGUU